UGCCAAUCACUUCUGAAGCAGCUCAAACCCCUUGAUAAGGUGCCAGGAUCUCUUUUUCAGUCGGGGUGUAACAGUGUUGGGUACUUUGUAUGCU